rnacentral:misc_RNA from 1 species
UUUCCGUUGGUGAACCAGCGGAAGGAUCAUUACAGAGAUCGUGCCCUUCGGGGUAGACCUCCCACCCUGUGUUAUUUACGUAUGUUGCUUUGGCGGGCCGCCUCCGGGCUCUCGGCUUCGGCCGAGGUGUGCCCGCCAGAGAACCCACAACCCUGUGUUUAGUGUCGUCUGAGUAUUAUCAAAUAAGUUAAAACUUUCAACAACGGAUCUCUUGGUUCUGGCAUCGAGAAGAACGCAGC